rnacentral:rRNA from 1 species
ACUCAAAUGAAUAGACGGGGACCCGCACAAGCGGUGGAGCAUGUGGUUUAAUUCGAGGCUACGCGAAGAACCUUACCCAGGCUUGACAUGGUUAAGACAGCGCUUGAAAGAGCGUUUCUCCGCAAGGAGCUUUUCCACAGGUGCUGCAUGGCUGUCGUCAGCUCGUGCUGUGAAGUGUUGGGUUAAGUCCCGCAACGAGCGCAACCUUUAUCCUUAGUUGCCAUCAGGUAAUGCUGGGCACUCUAGGGAGACUGCCGGUGAUAAACUGGAGGAAGGAGGAGAUGACGUCAAGUCAGCAUGGCCCUUAUGCCUGGGGCUACACACGUGCUACAAUGGCCACUACAAAGGGAUCCUAACCCGCGAGGGGGCGGAAAUCUCAAAAAAGUGGCCUCAGUUCAGAUAACAGGCUGCAACUCGCCUGUUUGAAGUCGGAAUCGCUAGUAACGGUAGAUCAGCUACGCUACCGUGAAUACGUUCCCGGGUCUUGUACACACCGCCCGU